CCCAGCUGAAAUAGACCAGUUACUAGCUAACCUCCUGUCAACUGAGGGCGAGAAUGUCUCUCCUUAGUCUUUUAAAUUCCAGUUGUUUGGAAUUGCCAGUCUGUUUUUGAAAUAAGACGUCAGAGGGCUGCAGGUGGGAGCACAGGGAUGACAGACGAGUUUCCCACUAGAAACUACACGUUGGAGGGGCGUUCAAGUGUAUUUCUCGCAGUCGUCACUCAUAUUUUACGAAUUUACGACAUGUCAAGAACGCUGCAUAAAGGUUGCUACAGGCGCCUCGCCUAGGGAUCCAUGGCCAGGCAGCUGUAAUAUUUGAUAGAAUAACACCUUGAGGACUUUGACUGACUGAGAGAAGGUGGAUGACAGCUAAACUUCACUGCCUCCUACUGGGCCUGCUGUGGUCCAGAGCUCGUCUUACAAUCAGCAAGAAGACAACCCAAUACAACAAUGUGUUAUUGAGAAGGAACAGGUUAUUACAUGGGAAUGAGAGUAAUUGUGGAGUGUUACUGAAUAUUCUUAAGACACUGGGAAUGAAACAGUCCAGAUUUCCAAUAGAUUUUCACCGUAGUAGGAUAACAGGUAUAUUGUGUGGAAAUGUGAAUCCAACCCCCCUCUCCCUGACAAUAAUGAGAUGGUUAUGCUCUCUUUUUGGGGCCUCGGAAUGUGAAAUGACAUGGCAAAUUUCACAUUCUGCUCGGAUAUCUACUGCUCUCUCUUCAUUUAACCCAAGCCAUACAAUGGAUACGUCUUCCCUACAAACAGCUGAUCUUUGCCCUUGCCCCUUUUGAGGUUGAAAUUUUGGCCCACUCUUGCAUGCAGAACGGCUUGCAUGCAGAAUGCAACUGCUCGUUUCAAAUCCUGACACAACAUAUCAAUUGGGAUUAGGUCAGGACUUUGACUAGGCCAUUCCAAAACUUAAAAUUGGUUGCUUUUUAACAAAUUUCAUGUAGACCUGAUUGUGUGUUUUUGAUCAUUGUCUUGCUGCACGACCCAGCUGCGUUUCAGCUUAAGUAUGGCCUGACACAGAAGUAUGGCCUGACAUUCCCCUGUAGAAUUCUCUGUUACAGAGCAGAAUUCAUGGUUCCUUCUAUUAAAGCAAGUCAUCCAGGUCCUGAAACAGCAAAGCAUCCCCAAACCAUCAUACUACCACCACCAUGCUGGACUGUUUUUAUGAGGUUCUUUCUGUGGAAUGCAGUGUUUGGUUUUUGCCAGACAUAAUGGGACCGAUCUUGUCAAAAAACUUUAAAGUUUAAGGGGGCAAUUACUUUUUCACAUAGGGGCAUUGGGUGUUGCAUAACUUUGUUGAUGAAAUAAAUUAUAUAAGUAUUAAUUGUUGUGUUAUUUGUUCACUCAGUUUCCCUUUAUCUAAUAUUAGGUUUUCGUAGAAGAUCUGAAAACGUUCGGUAUAAAAAAAUAUGCCAAAGUUGAGAAAAUUAGAAAGGUGGUGUCACGCCUUGGUCAUUGUAUCUUGUGUUUUUGUUAUAUGUUUGGGUAGGCCAGGGUGUGACAUGGGUUCAUAUGUUGUAUUUCGUAUUGGGGUUUGUAUUA